GCUCCAGUAGUUUAGUGGUUAGAGCGUCUUCUUCAGAAGCGGGAGGUCGUGGGUUCGAACUCCGUCUGAAUCA